rnacentral:rRNA from 1 species
UACGUAGGGUGCAAGCGUUGUCCGGAAUUAUUGGGCGUAAAGAGCUCGUAGGCGGUUUGUCGCGUCGGCCGUGAAAACCUGCCGCUUAACGGUGGGCGUGCGGUCGAUACGGGCAGACUUGAGUUCGGUAGGGGAGACUGGAAUUCCUGGUGUAGCGGUGAAAUGCGCAGAUAUCAGGAGGAACGCCGGUGGCGAAGGCGGGUCUCUGGUCUGUAACUGACGCUGAGGCGCGAAAGCGUGGGGAGCAAACAGG